rnacentral:rRNA from 1 species
UACGUAGGUGGCAAGCGUUGUCCGGAUUUACUGGGCGUAAAGGGCGUGCAGGCGGUUUGUUAAGUGCAGGGUGAAAGCUCCCGGCUCUACUGGGAGAGGUCCUUGCAUACUGGCGAACUCGAGGGAGGCAGAGGAAAGUGGAAUUCCCGGGGUAGUGGUGAUAUGCGUAGAUAACGGGAGGAACACCUGUGGCGAAGGCGGCGUUCUGGACCUUACCUGACGCUGAGACGCGAAAGCGUGGGGAGCGAACCGG